AAAGAAGGAUCCAAAAUAUCCAGGAUAGUGAGAAGUUAUAAAAGGGGUGUAAAACGAAAACCAAUAGAAGUCAAGAUCUAUUAAUAACAUUCAUUUGCCGGGGAAUUGUCCCCCUCGAAGUUCAUUCGCCCUCCUUCUCCAAAAUGUUCAGCGGGUCUCUUUGACUGACAGACGGCCGUCCGUGUAUUGUAGACAGUAUUCGUUAUGUCCGUCUGUCUUGUAUAAAUGUUCAUAUAUGUAUGUGUACCUUUUCUUUUUUCUUGUCUCUUACUAAUAUAUUUCUUUUCUUAUACUCUUCUUCUUUUUCAGGCUUCCUUUUAGGUUGGACAAGUGGCUACGGGGUCAAGGAACCCCAAUCUAAAGUCUAGGACCUACCUAAGAUAAGAGCUCAUAUCCUAGCGCCUAUUUGGUUCCCUAUAUCUGGGACGAGAUUACCGUAAAGAGCACUCCCUUGUCUAACCGAACAUCGUCCGUCAGUGUCCUAGUCCUGGAUAUACCGCUGCAACCAGGAGGGCUGCAGAAUGCUGGAUCUCUCACGCUGGACUGGAGCGGUGCUGGUGGCUGACGGUGGGAACGAUGAGUUCGUGACUUUUACUGAUAUUUUGCGUGCUUAGCGCUUUCGUUGUGAUUCUGCUGGCAGGUUCAUAUGCUUCGUGUGUAUUUUAGGUGUUGGUUUACGAGCGUUUACAGCCUUCGAAAUUGUUCACAGGUUUGAUAAUUAAAACAAGGAAAAAAAUGUUCACCGUGUUUAAAUAAACGCUACUGCCAUCUAUUAAUAAAAAAAAAUGCACUUUCCCACCAUCGGUGGUGAAGGGGUUUUUCUGCUUCAAAAGCGUUCAAAUUGA